UACGUAGGGUGCAAGCGUUGUCCGGAAUUAUUUGGGCGUAAAGAGCUCGUAGGCGGUUUGUCGCGUCUGCUGUGAAAACUCGGGGCUUAACCCCGGGCCUGCAGUGGGUACGGGCAGACUAGAGUGCGGUAGGGGAGACUGGAAUUCCUGGUGUAGCGGUGAAAUGCGCAGAUAUCAGGAGGAACACCGGUGGCGAAGGCGGGUCUCUGGGCCGUAACUGACGCUGAGGAGCGAAAGCGUGGGGAGCGAACAGG
rnacentral:rRNA from 1 species